CCUACGGGAGACAGCAGUGGGGAAUAUUGCACAAUGGGGGAAACCCUGAUGCAGCGACGCCGCGUGAGUGAAGAAGUAUUUCGGUAUGUAAAGCUCUAUCAGCAGGGAAGAAAAUGACGGUACCUGAUGAAGAAGCCCCGGCUAACUACGUGCCAGCAGCCGCGGUAAUACGUAGGGGGCAAGCGUGAUCCGGAUUUACUGGGUGUAAAGGGAGCGUAGACGGCAGCACAAGGCUGGAGUGAAAUGCCGGGGCUUAACCCCGGAACUGCUUGGGAAACUGUGCAGCUAGAGUGCAGGAGAGGUAAGUGGAAUUCCUAGUGUAGCGGUGAAAUGCGUAGAUAUUAGGAGGAACACCAGUGGCGAAGGCGGCUUACUGGACUGUAACUGACGUUGAGGCUCGAAAGCGUGGGGAGCAAACAGGAUUAGAUACCCUGGUAGUC
rnacentral:rRNA from 1 species